GACGGGGGGGGCAAGUGUUCUUCGGAAUGACUGGGCGUAAAGGGCCCGUAGGCGGUGAAUCGGGUUGAAAGUGAAAGUCGCCAAAAAGUGGCGGAAUGCUCUCGAAACCAAUUCACUUGAGUGAGACAGAGGAGAGUGGAAUUUCGUGUGUAGGGGUGAAAUCCGUAGAUCUACGAAGGAACGCCAAAAGCGAAGGCAGCUCUCUGGGUCCCUACCGACGCUGGGGUGCGAAAGCAUGGGGAGCGAACAGG
rnacentral:rRNA from 1 species